GAAGCCAUUAUGACAAUUGGUG
rnacentral:miRNA from 9 species